UACGUAGGUGGCAAGCGUUGUCCGGAUUUACUGGGCGUAAAGAGCGCGCAGGCGGCUGGUCAAGUCCGAUGUGAAAUCUCCCGGCUUAACUGGGAAACUGCAUCGGAAACUGAUCGGCUUGAAGGUGGAAGAGGGAAGCGGAAUUUCCGGUGUAGCGGUGAAAUGCGUAGAUAUCGGAAGGAACACCAGUGGCGAAAGCGGCUUCCUGGUCCGACACCGACGUUCAGGCACGAAAGCGUGGGGAGCAAACAGG
rnacentral:rRNA from 1 species